ensembl:lncRNA
CAUCUCAAAUAGUCAGCUAGUCUCCAACCGCAAAUUGAGGCAGCCCUUGAGAGCACUGAAAAGAACAAUGAGACACUUCUUCACAGUGUAUUGUCAUCUCACAAAUCCCAGCGGUUCAAUUCAAUCACACCUAUUGUUCUCUGACGGGUCCUGCUGAGGAUGUAAUAUUCCCAGCCAACAUGACACUUUUGCCUCAUAAAGAUGUGUAAGGCAACAUUUCUCAAAACCACAAUUUGGAUAAGGUUCUACAUACAGGGCUGAGGCAGCACUCUUUGUUAAUAAAAUAGCAGCACAAACCUGUGGUUGGGUAGCU